rnacentral:SRP_RNA from 1 species
GCCGGGCUCAUCAACGAGAGCCUGUAACCAAAGUUGGGGCAACAAAGUGGUGGGACAUUGGUUCGGCCCAUUGUGUCGGGCCCGGUGUAGCUUUCUUCUGGCCUGCCCAGUCCAAGCCGAGAGUUGGGCCAUGUGACUUGAGCGAAGGCCCAAGUUUCGUGGCCCCUAGAGUGGAGGGUACAGCGUGAGGCUGGCUUCACAGAGCAGCGCAAACCUCCCGCUCCCGGCGGUGGAAGGAUAACAGGCUUGUGCUACUCGGAUCCAACAUGGGCACAAUGAGCCGUUCUCAAUUGAACAACCACUUUU